AGAGUUUGAUCAUGGCUCAGAACGAACGCUGGCGGCAUGCCUAACACAUGCAAGUCGAACGCACCUUCGGGUGAGUGGCGGACGGGUGAGUAACACGUGGGAAUGUACCCUUUGGUUCGGAAUAACGUUUGGAAACGAACGCUAAUACCGGAUGAGCCCUGCGGGGGAAAGAUUUAUCGCCAAAGGAGCAGCCCGCGUCUGAUUAGCUAGUUGGUGGGGUAAAGGCCUACCAAGGCGACGAUCAGUAGCUGGUCUGAGAGGAUGAUCAGCCACACUGGGACUGAGACACGGCCCAGACUCCUACGGGAGGCAGCAGUGGGGAAUAUUGGACAAUGGGCGCAAGCCUGAUCCAGCCAUGCCGCGUGAGUGAUGAAGGCCUUCGGGUUGUAAAGCUCUUUCGCACGCGACGAUGAUGACGGUAGCGUGAGAAGAAGCCCCGGCUAACUUCGUG
rnacentral:rRNA from 1 species